rnacentral:rRNA from 1 species
UACGUAGGUGGCAAGCGUUGUCCGGAUUUACUGGGCGUAAAGGGCGUGCAGGCGGUCUGUUAAGUCUAGGGUGAAAGCUCCCGGCUCAACUGGGAGAGGUCCUUGGAUACUGGCGGACUUGAGGGAUGCAGAGGAAAGUGGAAUUCCCGGUGUAGUGGUGAUAUGCGUAGAUAUCUGGAGGAACACCGGUGGCGAAGGCGGCAUCCUGGACCGACACUGACACUGAGGAGCGAAAGCCAGGGGAGCAAACAGG